UCUAUCUGUACCACAAAGCUUGUUACUAGGUAAAAAUUCAGUGCCCCUUUGUGAUGUCAAAAUAUUUGCUCUUGCUAGGUAAAUGAUUGAAUGUUGCUAAGGAAAGCGACUCUCUGUGAUGUCACUGACAAAGAAAGGUGACAUAUUUAUGAGGGAGGAAGGGCAGAGCCACAAAGAGAGCCAAGUUGCCAUGAAGACAUUGUAAGGCCCUCUCAGAGCUGGAGAAAAAAGAAAAGGGAGGGGAAGCAAAAGAAGAAAAGACAGAAAGAGAAAAUGAAGGGGAAGGAAAAGGACGGGUGAGAGGAAGGAAGAAAAAGGAGGGAAGGAAGGGAAUCCUUGACAGCAUGGAUAAUACUACAGGAAAAAGAAGAAAAUCCUAAAAAUAAAGUGGAGCCAUAUUCAAUAAGCGGAGAAGGAAGCACUGAAGUCUGGCUUGACAAGCCAAGCUCGAGGCACCUAAAUCUGAAUCCAAGGUCAAUUUAGGACUCUUGGUGUGAAAGCGAGGAAAACAAUUGUGUGUAGAAAGUGGGGUGAAAGUAGAGACCAGAGGCCAAGAAGAAAAAGAAGAUAAAACCAGGAGAAAAAAGAAAAAUGAAUAAUAAACUUAAAAAUAGGUGUGAGAAAAAAAUAAAAAUAAAAUAAAAAUAAAAAAUAAAAUAAGGAUAAUAAAGAGAAAAAAAAGAAAAAAGAAAGAAAAAUUGAAUGACUUCCCAUUGACCUCUUGAGGGUUUUAAAAUCUUAUAGUCUAUUUUCAUCUCUGGUAUUAACAGUCUUGUAGUUGUGAUGUAUAUCACAUCAAUUUUCUUCAUUGAUACAGUUGAGAAAUUUGACAUUGGAUAUAAGCUUGAAAUCAUAGAAUCAUAAAGUAGGAAGAGAUCGCAAAGGCCAUCCACUCCAACCCCAUGCCAUGCAAACAUACCCAGUUUAGGCACUCCUGAAACAUCUGUUUAUAUGAGCAUAUCA